UACGUAGGGGGCAAGCGUUAUCCGGAUUUACUGGGUGUAAAGGGAGCGUAGACGGCAGUGCAAGUCUGGAGUGAAAGGCGGGGGCUCAACCCCCGGACUGCUCUGGAAACUGUACGGUUGGAGUGCAGGAGAGGUAAGUGGAAUUCCUAGUGUAGCGGUGAAAUGCGUAGAUAUUAGGAGGAACACCAGUGGCGAAGGCGGCUUACUGGACUGUAACUGACGUUGAGGCUCGAAAGCGUGGGGAGCAAACAGG
rnacentral:rRNA from 1 species